AUAACAGUCAGAAAUGGCUGCUAAUACCGCAUAAGCGCACAGAGCUGCAUGGCUCAGUGUGAAAAACUCCGGUGGUAUAAGAUGGACCCGCGUUGGAUUAGCUUGUUGGUGGGGUAACGGCCCACCAAGGCGACGAUCCAUAGCCGGCCUGAGAGGGUGAACGGCCACAUUGGGACUGAGACACGGCCCAGACUCCUACGGGAGGCAGCAUG
rnacentral:rRNA from 1 species